AGUCGUAACAAGGUCUCCGUAGGUGAACCUGCGGAGGGAUCAUUACACAAUUAAAAUAUGAAGGCUUCGGCUGGAUUAUUUUUAUCACCCUUGUCUUUUGCGCACUUGUUGUUUCCUGGGCGGGUUCGCCCGCCACCAGGACCACACCAUAAACCUUUUUUAUGCAGUUGCAAUCAGCGUCAGUAUAACAAAUGUAAAUCAUUUACAACUUUCAACAACGGAUCUCUUGGUUCUGGCAUCGAUGAAGAACGCAGCGAAAUGCGAUACGUAGUGUGAAUUGCAGAAUUCAGUGAAUCAUCGAAUCUUUGAACGCACAUUGCGCCCUUUGGUAUUCCAAAGGGCAUGCCUGUUCGAGCGUCAUUUGUACCUUCAAGCUUUGCUUGGUGUUGGGCGUCUUUUUGUCUUUGGCCUCGCCCAAAGACUCGCCUUAAAACGAUUGGCAGCCGGCCUACUGGUUUCGCAGCGCAGCACAUUUUUGCGCUUGCAAUCAGCAAAAAGGACGGCAAUCCAUCAAGACUACAUUUUUACGUUUGACCUCGGAUCAGGUAGGGAUACCCGCUGAACCUAAGCAUAUCA
rnacentral:misc_RNA from 1 species